CCGUCAAUUCAUUUGAGUUUUAAUCUUGCGACCGUACUCCCCAGGCGGUCAACUUCACGCGUUAGCUUCGUUACUAAAGGAUUUCACUCCUCCAACAACUAGUUGACAUCGUUUAGGGCGUGGACUACCAGGGUAUCUAAUCCUGUUUGCUCCCCACGCUUUCGUGCAUGAGCGUCAGUGUCGACCCAGGGGGCUGCCUUCGCCAUCGGUAUUCCUCCACAUCUCUACGCAUUUCACUGCUACACGUGGAAUUCUACCCCCCUCUGCCGCACUCUAGCCUUCCAGUCCCAAAUGCAGUUCCCAGGUUAAGCCCGGGGAUUCCACAUCUGGCUUAAAAAGCCGCCUGCGCACGCUUUACGCCCAGUAAUUCCGAUUAACGCUCGCACCCUACGUAUUACCG
rnacentral:misc_RNA from 1 species